AAAGUGCGAUAAGCAAUGCGAAUUGCAGAAUUCCGCGAAUCAUCAGAUCCUUGAACGCAACUGGCGCUAGGGGGCUCUCCCUCUAGCAUGUCUGUUUCAGUGUCUGAAAACAUCAUAAUAAUCUUAAUGUGAUUGACAAGGGAGAGAAAGGUGGUAGUUAUGGUAGUUUUCUACCUUUCUAUUUACUAAUUUCUCUUACUAAGUCUCUCAUGAAAUAUGUACAUGCGGGUCUUUGGACUCCUCUUCGAAUUUUGGUCACUGUUUACAGUGAUUUCGAUAGAGGAGUGUUCUUCGGAACAAAACUCAAUUACCCGAAAUUGCAUGUAAGAAUCAUCUGGUAGUUGUCAUGACUAUCUUAAUCUUCAAACUCUGCAUCUGAAAUCAGGCAAGAUCACCCGCU
rnacentral:misc_RNA from 1 species